GUGUUCCCUUUGGCAGCACAGAUACUGAAAUUGGAACAAUACAGAAAUUAGCAUGGCCUCUGUGCAAGAAUGACAUGCACAUUCAUGAAGCGCUCCAUAUUUUA